rnacentral:rRNA from 1 species
CCUACGGGAGGCUGCAGUGGGGAAUAUUGCACAAUGGGGGAAACCCUGAUGCAGCGACGCCGCGUGAGUGAAGAAGUACUUCGGUAUGUAAAGCUCUAUCAGCAGGGAAGAAACAGACGGUACCUGAGUAAGAUGCCCCGGCUAACUACGUGCCAGCCGCCGCGGUAAUACGUAGGGGGCAAGCGUUAUCCGGAUUUACUGGGUGUAAAGGGAGCGUAGACGGCGAAGAAAGUCUGAAGUGAAAGCCCGCGGCUUAACCGCGGAACUGCUUUGGAAACUUUGUUGCUGGAGUGCCGGAGAGGUAAGCGGAAUUCCUGGUGUAGCGGUGAAAUGCGUAGAUAUUAGGAGGAACACCAGUGGCGAAGGCGGCUUACUGGACGGUAACUGACGUUGAGGCUCGAAAGCGUGGGGAGCAAACAGGAUUAGAUACCCUGGUAGUC